CGCCGCCGCGAAUCCCGCGACGGAUACGAUCGGAGAUAAAGCAAAGACACGUGCAAAUUCUGCAGACGUGGUGACGGUGGAUUGGUCCGAGCUCGGCGUGGCCGAGGACGCCGAGCCGCUCGGUAAAGGCGCGUCGGGCGCCGUGUAUGCGGGACGAUGGAACGGCGAGACCGUGGCGGUGAAGGUGUACAACAACGCCGCAAAGA
rnacentral:ribozyme from 1 species